ensembl:lncRNA ITGA9-AS1 ITGA9 antisense RNA 1
AUCCCAUUUAAAAUUGCUUCUCCUAAGCCACCACAUAAAAAGUCAGACCAUCUGCUGGAAGAACCACAUGGAGAGGCCCUGAGUCAACAUGGAGAGGAAGAAGGACUUGACUGAAUCCAGCCUUCCAGCUGUCCCUACCAAGGUGCCAGGCAUGAGAAUGAAGCUGUCUUGAACUCUGAAGACCAGCUUAGCCACCAGAUGCCAAACACUGAGCAGGCUUUGUUCUCCACCCACAAACCAGAGGCUGUCUCAGCAGGAAGGAGUUGGAGUUGGAGAAAAAGGAGAAUUAAGAAUCUAUCUGGCGAUGUGGAUUAAAUAAACAACAAAUUGGCAGAUUGUUUUUAAAAGAGAAGUAUGGACUUUGGUGUCAGGAAGUUGCAGUUAUGGUCCCUGGUGCUGUUUUGGAGCUGGGGACACAGUGGAAACAAGGAAGAGACAGACCUUCAUCAGCUAAAGCCUCCAAUACCAUUACUGAUGAAUAGAGAGGCUCUGAAGGAAAAGGACUCCGGGUCUCUGAAAGGAGAGUGUGAGGCAAACAAAUCAUCCUAGACAUGGGGAUGAGGACACCCCUUUCUCCUUGAGAGAGUGAUGCUUGAGGCAGGACAGGUCUGCACCCUGGGCCACCUCCAAAUGAACCACCAUGAGGUUGGGAGAAGUUAUGAUGAAGCUACUCUGGACUGUAGCCCAUCUCAGUUACUCAAGUUUUCUGGUCAGAAAUCUUCCUCACAUUCCUUAGAGGAAAAGAAGGAAGAAUUGUUCUAUAGUUCGCCUUCUGAUCUUUUUUAAGCAAAUGGGAAAUCGCCCCCUUCUGGCAGUUGCUCCCCAGACUUCUGUUUUGGAGUUAGGUUCUCACCAUCCUAUGUUAGGGCUCUAAGGGAAGGUAAGAGAAGAGAGAACUGAGACUUUUGCCUUCACUCUGAAGUGGUCCAAAUCCUCAGUUGUGAAUGGCCUCAAGGGGAGCCAAGAUUCCACUCCCUGCCUGAAGGGUCACUGUCC